AGCAGCCGCGGUAAUUCCAGCUCCAAUAGCGUAUAUUAAAGUUGUUGCAGUUAAAAGCUCGUAGUUGAAUUUCGGGGUUAGUAGGUUGGUCAUGCCUCUGGUAUGUACUGGUCUCACUGAUUCCUCCUUCCUGAUGAGCCGUAAUGCCAUUAAUUUGGUGUUGCGGGGAAUCUGGACUGUUACUUUGAAAAAAUUAGAGUGUUUAAAGCAAGCUAACGCUUGAAUACAUUAGCAUGGAAUAAUGAAAUAGGACGUUCGAUCCUAUUUUGUUGGUUCCUAGGAUUGACGUAAUGAUUAAUAGGGAUAGUUGGGGGCAUUAGUAUUCAAUUGUCAGAGGUGAAAUUCUUGGAUUUAUUGAAGACUAACUACUGCGAAAGCAUUUUGCCAAGGAUGUUUUCAUUAAUCAAGAACGAAAGUUAGGGGAUCGAAGACGAUCAGAUACCGUCGUAGUCUUAACCAUAAACUAUGCCGACUAGGGAUCGGAUGAUGUUAAUUUUUUAAUGACUCAUUCGGCGCCUUA
rnacentral:misc_RNA from 1 species